rnacentral:misc_RNA from 1 species
GGAAUUCUUCAUCCUCAGCAUGUGCUUCUUUAAUUUUUCUUAUCUCUUCUUCCAUUUGCUCCCUAGUCAGGUUCUCACCAUCCAUCAUCAUGGAAUGAGUCUCAGUUUCUUCAUCUGAUACGAGUGCUAGAGACGCCUGGUCAUCAUCGAGUUCAAACUCAUCCAUACGUACUUGGCUAUUUAAGGCAUUUUCCCCUUCAUCUAGCACCAUACCAUCUUCUUCUUCAUUCUCGCUCUCAGAAACAUCAGCAUCUGAAUCUUCUACAAUCCAAGCAGCCUGAUAUUCAGAAGUGCCCUUAGGAAGAGUUUUCCUUUUCAGCUUUCUUUCCUCUUGAUUUCUUUCUGCUUCAGCCAUUUCUGCCUCAGUAGGCCAUGUCUGUUCCCCAGCCAAUGGAUCAGGGACAUUCUCAACAAGUAAAGGCUCUUGCUUCAUAGGGUCAGGAGUCAAGCAACUGAUGACCUGUGCCUCAUUCAUGUCAUCAGACUCCAUUAAGUCUCCUCCUUUUCUCACAUUCAGGGAACAUGGAUCCUUGAGAAGUUCGAUCUUGGAUAACUGAAAAUCUCCAGCACCUGUUAUGUGAACCAGCUGAUUCACCGACAGGCUACGAGCACGAAUAUAACCAGAGAGGAGGAGUGUACAUUUUCCAGAAAUGGAAUUAUCAGCUACCACGUCGACCUUUUGAGCCAUUAGAUAUGGCCGCUGAUUACGCCAAUGUGGUACUGAGAACCUUUGCUCCUUGAAAAGCCACAAGAACUUGUGCAAAUCAUCCUUUGUAUCUGCUGGAUAGAACUUACAAUCCUCGGGAAAUUCAGAAGACAGGCUAGAUGUACAAACCUUCUUUGAAUCGUUUUUCUUUUUUAACUCACUGGGUAGAUCACGAAUCAGUACUGCUGUACUAGGAAGACCAAGAGCUCUAAAGAUCGAAAGGCAGUGAGAUCCAAAUGCAUCUAUAUAACAAUCU